rnacentral:rRNA from 1 species
AGUGAACGCUGGCGGCGUGCUUAACACAUGCAAGUCGAACGAGAACGGAAUAUAGCUUGCUAUAUUUGUCAGCUAAGUGGCGCACGGGCGAGUAAUGUAUAGAUAACCUGCCCUUAAGAAAGGAAUAACAGUUGGAAACGACUGCUAAUGCCCUAUAUGCCUUUAAUACAUAAGUAUGCAAGGGAAACGCUUUAGUGCUUAAGGAUGGGUCUGUAUGGUAUCAGCUUGUUGGUGAGGUAAUGGCUCACCAAGGCUAUGACGCCUAACUGGUUUGAGAGGAUGAUCAGUCACACUGGAACUGAGACACGGUCCAGACUCCUACGGGAGGCAGCAGUGGGGAAUAUUGCACAAUGGACGAAAGUCUGAUGCAGCAACGCCGCGUGGAGGAUGACACAUUUUGGUGCGUAAACUCCUUUUAUAUAGGAAGAUAAUGACGGUACUAUAUGAAUAAGCACCGGCUAACUCCGUGCCAGCCGCCGCGGUAA